CGCCUUCAGAUUCAAUAUUGAAGGUCUGGUCUGCCCAGUGUAAUUAAUUAACGGCCGCGGUAUUCUGACUGUGCAAAGGUAGCAUAAUCACUUGCCCUUUAAAUGGGGGAAUGUAUGAAUGAUUAGACGAGGUUUUUACUGUCUCUUCCUUAUAAAUUGAGAUUACAAUACUUGUGAAAAUGCGGGUAAGGUAAUAAAGGACGAGAAGACCCUGUUGAGCUUUUAAGCUAAACUAUAGUACAGGUUAAGUUAAGUAAUAAUUUACAAUUAAAACGAGUAAUUUUUUGUAGGCUUUUUGGCUGGGGUGGCAAGCAAAGAUAUUAAGCUUUGUUGUAGUAUACAUUUUGUAUUUCUAGAUAAUAUGUAUCUAUAAAUAAUUAAAUUGAUCCGUUAAAAUAGAACGAUUAAAAGAAUAAGUUACCACAGGGAUAACAGCGUAAUUCUUUUUGAGAGCUCGAAUUGACAAAGGAGUUUGCGACCUCGAUGUUGGAUCAAGAUUCCUAGCGGUGUAGCAGCUGUUACGGGUUUGCCUGUUCGGCGAUUAAUAUCU
rnacentral:rRNA from 1 species